rnacentral:lncRNA from 1 species
UUGGGGCGAUUUGGUCACUUCAGAUGAGAAAUCCAGUCGAGCCUUCUUCCUUCGCUUCCACUAUUCAGCGCUCCGACUCGAGAGAGGUCUCCAUCCCAUGUACCUUGUUCGUACCAUUUCUCUCAAAUCUACGAAGGAUCAAGGAUUGAUUGGGGGAUAGAGGGCUAGAAUUGUGAGGAGAACUGUAGAGAGGGGCUUUAGAGAA